rnacentral:sRNA from 1 species
UAAAGAAUGCACAGUUCAUGUUGAAAAUCAUUUCGUUCCUUUUUGCUUUCUCAAUUAAGUAGUAGAGUGGUACAAAGUAUUAAUUGUGUAAGUUUUUCUUUGUGUGUAUGAUUAAAUAAUUUAGAGCAAAUAUUUUGCAUAUUACUACAUCAAAAAUCUUUCCAAAUAUUGUAAUAACUAAAGUAAUCUGGAAUGUUUGUCUUGAUUCUUACUAAUUCUUUAUAAUAUAAAAGACCUUCUUUCAUUGAUUCCAAGACUUCCAUUCCAGGACCUCUCUGAAAUCAGUGUACCUCUUAGAAUCAGUAACAUCUUAGAUUCAGUGAAAUACGAUAUGUCUAAUAAGGGUUCGGAGGAAGGGCUAUAAUAAUUGUUACAGAAUCAUGAUAAUUUUUCACUGAUGUUAUGGGACCGUUCUGAUUUUCCCUUGCCUGCCUGUCUUCCAGAUGCUCUCUGUGUGGGUAUGUGUGUAGCCAUCCUCCUUCUUUGAAGUCUCAUAUGUGGAAACAUGCAAGUGACCAAAAUUACAACUACGAACAAGUAAACAAGGCUAUUAACGACGCGAUUUCACAAAGUGGCAGAGUUCUGGGGAAAUCCCCUGGAAAGACUCAAUUAAAGAGCAGUGAAGAGAGUGCAGAUCCCGUCACUGGAAGUUCGGAAAAUGCGGUAUCAUCUUCAGAACUGAUGUCCCAGACUCCCAGUGAAGUUCUGGGUACCAACGAGAAUGAGAAACUGAGCCCUACAAGUAAUACCUCAUAUAGUUUAGAAAAAAUCUCCAGUCUGGCCCCUCCUAGCAUGGAGUACUGCGUUUUACUCUUCUGCUGUUGUAUUUGUGGUUUUGAAUCAACCAGCAAAGAAAACCUCUUGGAUCAUAUGAAAGAGCACGAGGGUGAAAUUGUAAACAUCAUCCUGAAUAAGGACCACAACACAGCUCUAAACACAAAUUAGGUGGAAUAAUGACUCGAGCAGGAAAGCAGUAGAAGAGGAUUCCUUCACCACAGUUUCACCUUUACGCUGUCAGACAACUUCCUGCCACAGAAGAAGUCGUUGAUGUGAUUUUUGAGGAAAUGACAGAUGUGACUUUGGAACCAAACUUGUAAUAAAAGGAAUUCC